rnacentral:lncRNA from 1 species
CACACACUGCACACACACACACACUGCACACACACACACACUGCAUACACACACACACUGCACACACACACUCACACACACUCACACUCACACUUACACUCACACUCACACUUACACUCACACUCACACACAAACACACACACACACACAAACACUUACACUCACACUCACACUCACACACACAUUUUACACACACAACUCACACACACAUUUUACACACACAACUCACACACAUACACACAAAAACAGAUUACACACACACACACGGACAUAUUACACACACAUUUUACACACACAACUCACACACACACACUGCAAAUAACACAGGUUACACACACACACACGGAUAGAUUACACACACAUUUUACACACACAACUCACACACACACAGAUAUUACACAGGUUACACAGAUUACAUACACACACACACACACACAAACACACUCACACACACACAAACACACAGACAAAUUUUUUUCGGUACACACAAACACACACACAGAGAGCACACACCUGAGACUAAUCUCAAUUUCAUCUUAUGAAAACCCCAAAUU